GUUUCUUGCUUCUUACAUAUUUGUCCUUUUGAUUGUUUUUAUGUUUGAUCAAAAAGUUUCAUACCGAAUAUUAAGAAAUUUGUUUACAUCUACGGUUGUGAUUGCAUCUGCUUGCAGAACGGUCAAUUUUACAUUAUCUAUAGAAGGCUGUGUACAUGAGAGGCGUGGCAUGCUAUUGGAAAUUAUAACAUACUGUAUAUGGCUUCUAAGCAAUUUGAAAGUUUAGGACACAAUAGGAAGUCAUAUUACGACGGUUUCCGAUUAUUGACAAAUCUCUAUUUUUCGAGGGCAGCAAAAUUAUUUUCUAGAACUGAUAGUUUCUUCAGCAAUUUUUUAGUUUGCUUCCUGUUACUUUAUAACUGAAUAUGAAUAUGUAGUUAGCUUAUUUUUCUUUUAUGUGAUAUGUGAGUAAAUAGCAGUUAGCUGCAUGGUUUACUAUGAUUUCAAGCUCAACUUUUGUGUUAUCUAGCUGCAGUGCUAGGACUGGUUGUUGCCCAAAGAGAUGAUAUGACCAUCAGUUUAUGGUCUUUUUGAGCUUGAUGUCUUCUGUAUUGGAGAAAUGAAGUCUUCGGCAUGUACACGGUGUAAACAAUCAUUGGAAAAGGCGAGAUGAAGAUAAGAGGAGCAUAUAGAAGUUUCUGAUUUGUAUAGGAGGCCUUGUUGAUGAGACUCAGAAUGGAUGCAUAAUGGUCCUGGCUACUGGCGAGCUUGAAGCAAGUGGUGCGUGUUGUGACUCCCAUUGUGGCGCUGUAGUCGACUCCAUCAAUUCAAAUUCUGAAGAUAACAUGUAGCCUGAAUCCAAGAGGGAACAAAUCCAGUUGUUCCAAGACUGCGUUCUGUUUUGCAUAUUUUGUUGACAGUUUGCAUCUCUGCCAUGUUCAUCUUGGAUUAUGAUUUCUUUUUCAUCUGCUCCCACUUAUAUAUGUAUUAUAAGUCCUUCGAAGUACACAGAAUAAAUCAGACAUUCUGAAAUCUUUAGUAUACAACUGCAAUUUCAUCUUGGAUUAUGA